rnacentral:rRNA from 1 species
AGGGCACCACCAGGAGUGGAGCCUGCGGCUUAAUUUGACUCAACACGGGAAAUCUCACCAGGCCCGGACACUGGAAGGAUUGACAGAUUGAGAGCUCUUUCUCGAUUCGGUGGGUGGUGGUGCAUGGCCGUUCUUAGUUGGUGGAGUGAUUUGUCUGGUUAAUUCCGAUAACGAACGAGACUCUGUCCUGCUAAAUAGUUCCAGCGUCCUUAGUGCGCUGGAAAUUCUUCUUAGAGGGACUGGCGGCGUCCAGCCGCACGAGAUUGAGCAAUAACAGGUCUGUGAUGCCCUUAGAUGUCCUGGGCCGCACGCGCGCUACACUGAAGGGAUCAGCGUGUCUUCCCUCUCCGAGAGGAGCGGGUAACCCGCUGAACCCCCUUCGUGGUAGGGAUUGGGGCUUGCAAUUAUUCCCCAUGAACCAGGAAUUCCCAGUAAGCGCAAGUCAUAAGCUUGCGUUGAUUACGUCCCUGCCCUUUGUACACACCGCCCGUCGCUACUACCGAUUGAACGUUUUAGUGA